CAAAUUAGAGCUUGAAUGAAAAAGUAUUUCAUUUACAUUGAAAAGAUUAUUAAAUUAUUAAUUAAUUUGG
rnacentral:tRNA from 1 species